rnacentral:rRNA from 1 species
UCACUUUCAACAACGGAUCUCUUGGUUCUCGCAUCGAUGAAGAACGUAGCGAAGUGCGAUAAGUAGUGUGAAUUCCAGAAUUCCGUGGAUCAUCGAAUUUUUGAACGCAAAUUGCACUCUCUGGUAUUCCGGAGAGUAUGCCUGUUUGAGGGUCAUUA